AUGAUACCAUUUGUAACAGGUCACAAACCAUUGAUUGAUACAGCGGACUCGUUCAUUUGGUGGCCAAAUCAUGAUGGUUUGUUUUCUGUUAGAAGUUGCUAUAUGUCCUUGCGCGAGAAGGAAUUGGAAGAAGCUGUAGAUAGUCAUUUGCUUUCGAUGUUGAAUUUACUUUGGAUUACUAAUGUUCCUUCGAAACUCUAA